GUUUUAUUUAAUUUCACGAUAACAAAAAAAAGUACACAUUUUUUUCAAACGAGUUCAUGGAAAAUUAAAAUUAUUUGAAAAUAAUGAGAAGGUAGCGCAUCAACUACUUUAUAAUAUUCAGAUGUACAGAAUAAAAAGGUAAAGCAUCUCUACAAGAUCAAAAUUUCAAUGAGAGGUUUACAAAUUUUGGUAUAGAAUAUAACACCUUUCUCAUCUCAAAUUCUCGAUACAACUCAGGCCUAUUUGCAGAAACAGUGGAUGUAUGAGAAUAUAGUUUCCACUGGCGAAGCAACAGUCUCACCUACCAAGGUUUCAAGUCCCCUGCGGGUCCUGCUGUCCAAUUCAAAAUCUUUUCACCAGGCUUCAGGAAAAU
rnacentral:misc_RNA from 1 species